UGGGGGAUGAUGAGUUGCACUGAAUGGGACUUGUGGUGCUGUGCACUGUGGGCCCAACAGACCUGCUCUGGUGACAAAACUAUGUGCACAGGGGCCAGCUGACUCCA